AUGAUGGCAGUGGGGACAAUUCCAUCGUCUCAUCAUAAUUGGAAUGUGAAGAAGAAAGUCACAAGCACUGCAAACAUGUUGUGCCGAGACUCCGAGACAUGAAAGCAGCUUGAUGAAGGGCUGAUAUCUUCUGCAACCCAAAUUACCAUACUGUAAAUCUUUGAGCCCCUUGUCUGUGUUUACCAAUCACUGCCAGCACAUGAAACUUCAGUUUCCUAUUGGUAUCACCGUAAUGAUCAUUAACUGGAGUGGUGAAUCACACCUUUAGGAGUUGUGGCUGAAAAAUGUUUGAGAACAAGUACAAUUAGGACCUCCAUUUUGGUUUUUGUUGACUACUACACUGGAACAGUUCAGUGCAUUCCUGCAAGUUCGAUAGCCUCUCAGGAAAAUCAAAGCUGAAACAAUCAUUGCACAGCCAACGGGAGGCAGGAAAGGAUGAGAGGAGAGAACAGUCGACCUGCUUGAAUAAAAUUACGUGAGGACCCCAGCCACGUUAUCAAGUGCUUUUUUUGCAAUAUCGAAUUUGCCAGCAAUGGAUUUUUCUGAGUUUGCAGCACCAACAUACUGCUUGAUGAAGAACGCAAGGUUGCUCCUUAGCAUUUCAAUCUCUGGAAGCGGCAGCUACACGAGUGAAGAUGUUCCACACGAGGGCAUCAGCGUUCUCAAAAACAGCCUCAAAGAGCAUUCGGAAAUGCAUGAUCCUUCUAGGUGUCAGCUGUGCGGGGUUUGCCAGAUCUACGGUCUUCAAAAUAGCAAGGGAGAGUGAGAAGCUGGACAGCAUCUCUGCAACAAAUCUUGCAAGGUUCAUGAAGCGGUUUAACUCCAUUGAUUCAAGUUCCUUGAAGUGAUCCCAUAAGUGGUACUGAAAUUUACACAAAAAAGGCAAAUUCAGAAAACAUGAUGAAAUUUAGAAAACAUCUGAAAACUACAUU